UGAGUAACACGUGAGCAACCUGCCUUUCAGUGGGGGACAACAUUUGGAAACGAAUGCUAAUACCGCAUAGACCACAGUGUCGCAUGGCACAGGGGUCAAAGGAUUUAUCCGCUGAAAGAUGGGCUCGCGUCCGAUUAGCUAGAUGGUGAGGUAACGGCCCACCAUGGCGACGAUCGGUAGCCGGACUGAGAGGUUGAACGGCCACAUUGGGACUGAGACACGGCCCAGACUCCUACGGGAGGCAGCAUG
rnacentral:rRNA from 1 species